rnacentral:rRNA from 1 species
UUUCGAAUCAUUCACAAUGGGCGAAAGCCUGAUGGUGCGACGCCGCGUGGGGGAUGAAGGUCUUCGGAUUGUAAACCCCUGUCACCGGGGAAGAAACGCUUCAAUUUAACAGAUUGAAGCCUGACUUAACCCGGAGAGGAAGCAGUGGCUAACUCUGUGCCAGCAGCCGCGGUAAUACAGAGACUGCAAGCGUUAUUCGGAUUCACUGGGCGUAAAGGGUGCGCAGGCGGCCAAGUGUGUUAGGUGUGAAAUCCCGGGGCUCAACCCCGGAACUGCGCCUAAAACUACUUGGCUAGAGCAUUGGAGAGGGUAGCGGAAUUCACGGUGUAGCAGUGAAAUGCGUAGAUAUCGUGAGGAACACCAGAGGCGAAGGCGGCUACCUGGACAAUUGCUGACGCUCAGGCACGAAAGCGUGGGGAGCAAAAGGGAUUAGAUACCCCUGUAGUCC